AGAGUUUGAUCCUGGCUCAGGACGAACGCUGGCGGCGUGCUUAAUACAUGCAAGUCGAGCGAGGUUAUGUUGUGGACAUCCUUCGGGAGGGAAGCGAUAUGACCUAGCGGCGGACGGGUGAGUAACGCGUGGGCAAUCUGCCCUAAAGCUCGGGAUAACAGUGGGAAACUGCUGCUAAUACCGGAUGACUUUAUCGGGAGGCAUCUUCGGAUAAAGAAAGUGGUCAAUCAUUGAUUGACCAGCGCUUUAGGAUGAGCCCGCGUCCCAUUAGCUAGUUAGUGAGGUAACGGCUCACCAAGGCGACGAUGGGUAGCCGGCCUGAGAGGGUGAACGGCCACACUGGGACUGAGACACGGCCCAGACUCCUACGGGAGGCAGCAGUAGGGAAUAUUGCGCAAUGGAGGGAACUCUGACGCAGCGACGCCGCGUGAGCGAUGAAGGUUUUCGGAUCGUAAAGCUCUGUCCUUGGGGAAGAAGGGUGCGAAGCAUCUUGACGGUACCUAAGGAGGAAGCCCCGGCUAACUACGUGCCAGCAGCCGCGGUAAUACGUAGGGGGCAAGCGUUGUCCGGAAUUAUUGGGCGUAAAGGGUGCGUAGGCGGCCUUUUAAGUCAGAUGUGAAAGACCACGGCUUAACCGUGGGGUUGCAUUUGAAACUGGAGGGCUUGAGUAUCGGAGAGGGUAGUGGAAUUCCCAGUGUAGCGGUGGAAUGCGAGAUAUUGGGAGGAACACCAGUGGCGAAGGCGACUACCUGGACGAAAACUGACGCUGAGGCACGAAAGCUAGGGGAGCAAACAGGAUUAGAUACCCUGGUAGUCCUAGCCGUAAACGAUG
rnacentral:rRNA from 1 species